UACGGAGGGUGCAAGCGUUAUCCGGAUUUACUGGGCUUAAAGGGUUCGUAGGCGGGUAGGUAAGUCAGCUGUGAAAUCUCCGAGCUUAACUCGGAAACUGCCAUUGAUACUAUCUAUCUUGAAUGUCCUGGAGGUGAGCGGAAUAUGUCAUGUAGCGGUGAAAUGCUUAGAUAUGACAUAGAACACCAAUUGCGAAGGCAGCUCACUGCGGGAUUAUUGACACUGAGGCACGAAAGCGUGGGGAUCAAACAGG
rnacentral:rRNA from 1 species